UACGGAGGGAGCUAGCGUUGUUCGGAAUUACUGGGCGUAAAGCGCGCGUAGGCGGCCACUUAAGUCGGAUGUGAAAGCCCCUGGCUCAACUGGGGAAGUGCACCCGAAACUGAGCGGCUUGAAUGCAAAAGAGGGUCGCGGAAUUCCCGGUGUAGAGGUGAAAUUCGUAGAUAUCGGGAGGAACACCGGUGGCGAAGGCGGCGCCCUGGGUUGAACAUUGACGCUGGAGGCGCGAAAGCGUGGGGAGCAAACAGG
rnacentral:rRNA from 1 species